AUGCACGCUGGCGGCGUGCCUCAUACAUGCAAGUCGAGCGAACAGACGAGGAGCUUGCUCCUCUGACGUUAGCGGCGGACGGGUGAGUAACACGUGGAUAACCUACCUAUAAGACUGGGAUAACUUCGGGAAACCGGAGCUAAUACCGGAUAAUAUAUUGAACCGCCUGGUUCAAUAGUGAAAGACGGUUUUGCUGUCACUUAUAGAUGGAUCCGCGCCGCAUUAGCUAGUUGGUAAGGUAACGGCUUACCAAGGCAACGAUGCGUAGCCGACCUGAGAGGGUGAUCGGCCACACUGGAACUGAGACACGGUCCAGACUCCUACGGGAGGCAGCAGUAGGGAAUCUUCCGCAAUGGGCGAAAGCUUGACGGAGCAACGCCGCGUGAGUGAUGAAGGUCUUCGGAUCGUAAAACUCUGUUAUUAGGGAAGAACAAAUGUGUAAGUAACUAUGCACGUCUUGACGGUACCUAAUCAGAAAGCCACGGCUAACUACGUG
rnacentral:rRNA from 1 species